rnacentral:rRNA from 1 species
AACGAACGCUGGCGGCAGGCUUAACACAUGCAAGUCGAGCGCUGUAGUAAUACAGAGCGGCGCACGGGUGAGUAACACGUGGGAACGUGCCCUUUGGUUCGGAAUAACUCAGGGAAACUUGAGCUAAUACCGGAUAAGCCCUUACGGGGAAAGAUUUAUCGCCAUUGGAGCGGCCCGCGUCUGAUUAGCUAGUUGGUGGGGUAAAGCCCACCAAGGCGACGAUCAGUAGCUGGUCNGAGAGGACGACCAGCCACACUGGGACUGAGACACGGCCCAGACUCCUACGGGAGGCAGCAGUGGGGAAUCUUGGACAAUGGGCGAAAGCCUGAUCCAGCAAUGCCGCGUGAGUGAUGAAGGCCUUAGGGUUGUAAAGCUCUUUCAGCGGGGAAGAUAAUGACGGUACCCGCAGAAGAAGCCCCGGCUAACUUCGUG